UCGGGAAUUUUGGGCAAUGGGCGAAAGCCUGACCCAGCAACGCCGCGUGAAGGAUGACGGUCCUAUGGAUUGUAAACUGCUUUUGUACAGGAAGAAACAGUUCUACGUGUAGAACCUUGACGGUACUGUAAGAAUAAGGAUCGGCUAACUCCGUGCCAGCAGCCGCGGUAAUACGGAGGAUCCAAGCGUUAUCCGGAAUCAUUGGGUUUAAAGGGUCCGUAGGCGGUUAGAUAAGUCAGUGGUGAAAGCCCAUCGCUCAACGGUGGAACGGCCAUUGAUACUGUCUGACUUGAAUUAUUAGGAAGUAACUAGAAUAUGUAGUGUAGCGGUGAAAUGCUUAGAGAUUACAUGGAAUACCAAUUGCGAAGGCAGGUUACUACUAAUGGAUUGACGCUGAUGGACGAAAGCGUGGGUAGCGAACAGGAUUAGAUACCCUCGUAGUCCCUGAGCGGGCUGGCAAGGCGCAU
rnacentral:rRNA from 1 species